rnacentral:rRNA from 1 species
CCUACGGGAUGCACCAGUGGGGAAUAUUGCACAAUGGGCGCAAGCCUGAUGCAGCCAUGCCGCGUGUAUGAAGAAGGCCUUCGGGUUGUAAAGUACUUUCAGCGGGGAGGAAGGUGUUGUGGUUAAUAACCACAGCAAUUGACGUUACCCGCAGAAGAAGCACCGGCUAACUCCGUGCCAGCAGCCGCGGUAAUACGGAGGGUGCAAGCGUUAAUCGGAAUUACUGGGCGUAAAGCGCACGCAGGCGGUCUGUCAAGUCGGAUGUGAAAUCCCCGGGCUCAACCUGGGAACUGCAUUCGAAACUGGCAGGCUAGAGUCUUGUAGAGGGGGGUAGAAUUCCAGGUGUAGCGGUGAAAUGCGUAGAGAUCUGGAGGAAUACCGGUGGCGAAGGCGGCCUUCUGGACAGAUACUGACGCUGAGAUGCGAAAGCGAGGGGAGCAAACAGGAUUAGAUACCCGUGUAGUC